rnacentral:sRNA from 1 species
UGGCAGUGGCACCACCUUCUCCGUCAGAAAGACCGCUUACUGUGAUGUCCACACGCCUCCAGGCUGCACCCGGAGGCCUCUGAAUAUUUACGGGGAUGUCGAAAUGAAAAAUGGCGUCUGUCGAAAAGAGAGCUCGGUUAAAACGGUCAGGUCCACAUCCAAGGUCAGGAAGAAGGCAAAAAAGGCUAAGAAAGCUCUGGCGGAGCCCUGCGCGGUCCUGCCGACCGUGUGCGCUCCUUAUAUUCCCCCGCAGAGCUUCGAGUAGAGAGAGAGAAACAAACCUGGAUGAGUGUUCCUGGCCGCGGUCUCUGCAGUCUGGGUUUCCCAGUCUCCAGGAGAUGCUGGUGCUUCAGGCCACCUUGCCACCAGUGGAGGAGCUCCCAGUGCGCCUGGCCUGUUGGCACCAUGG